rnacentral:rRNA from 1 species
GACGAACCGUGCAAACGUUGUUCGGAUUCACUGGGCUUAAAGGGCGCGUAGGCGGGUGGUCAAGUCAGGGGUGAAAUCUUUCAGCUCAACUGGAAAACAGCUUCUGAUACUGGCCAUCUUGAGGGGGGUAGGGGCAUGUGGAACUUCCGGUGGAGCGAUGAAAUGCGUAGAUAUCGGAAGGAACGCCGGUGGCGAAAGCGACGUGCUGGACCUUUUCUGACGCUGAGGCGCGAAAGCCAGGGGAGCAAACGGG